rnacentral:rRNA from 1 species
UACGUAGGGGGCUAGCGUUGUCCGGAAUCAUUGGGCGUAAAGCGCGUGUAGGCGGUCCGGUAAGUCCGCUGUGAAAGUCGAGGGCUCAACCCUCGAAUGCCGGUGGAUACUGUCGGGCUAGAGUCCGGAAGAGGCGAGUGGAAUUCCUGGUGUAGCGGUGGAAUGCGCAGAUAUCAGGAGGAACACCAAUAGCGAAGGCAGCUCGCUGGGACGGUACUGACGCUAAGGCGCGAAAGCGUGGGGAGCGAACAGG